rnacentral:rRNA from 1 species
CGUCGUACCCCCACGACUUCUCUGUGACUCCUACGGGGAGGCAGCAGUGGGGAAUAUUGCACAAUGGGGGAAACCCUGAUGCAGCCAUGCCGCGUGUGUGAAGAAGGCCUUCGGGUUGUAAAGCACUUUCAGUAGGGAGGAAGGUAGUGUAGUUAACACCUGCAUUAUUUGACGUUACCUACAGAAGAAGCACCGGCUAACUCCGUGCCAGCAGCCGCGGUAAUACGGAGGGUGCGAGCGUUAAUCGGAAUUACUGGGCGUAAAGCGCAUGCAGGCGGCCUGUUAAGUCAGAUGUGAAAGCCCGGGGCUUAACCUCGGAAUUGCAUUUGAAACUGGCAGGCUAGAGUCUUGUAGAGGGGGGUAGGAAGUUUCAGGUGUAGCGGUGAAAUGCGUAGAGAUCUGAAGGAAUACCAGUGGCGAAGGCGGCCCCCUGGACAAAGACUGACGCUCAGAUGCGAAAGCGUGGGGAGCAAACAGGAUUAGAUACCCUGGUAG